GAGACCGCAUUUGCCCCCGCCAGCACAGGCCUCCCGCCUUCGCUGCACCGCCGUCGCCGCAGGUGGACACGGCAACCAGUUCGCCAUGGAUGAUGAUAUUGCCGCGCUCGUGGUCGACAACGGGCUCCAGCAUGUGCAAGGCCAGCUUCGCAGGUGAUGAUGCUCCUUGGGCAGUCUUCCCCUCCAUCAUGGGGUGCCCCCAGCACCAGGGCGUGAUGGUGAGCAUGGGCCAGAAGGACUCCUAUGUGGAUGAUGAAGCCCAGAGCAAGAGAGGCAUGCUGACCCUCAAGUACCCCAUCAAGCAUGGCAUCGUCAUCACCUGGGAUGACAUGGAGAAGAUCUGGCAUCACACCUUCUACAAAGAGCUGUGUGUAGCUCCCAAGGAGCAUCCCAUGCUGCUAACUGAGGCCCCCCUGAACCCUCAAGGCCAACUGUGAGAAGAUGACCCAGAUCAUGUUUGAGACCUUCAACACCCCCACCGUAUACGUGACCAUCUAGGUUGUGCUGUCCCUGUAGGCCUCUGGCUGCAUCACCGGCAUCGUGAUGGACUCUGGUGACAGGGUCACCCACACGGUGCCCAUCUACGAGGGGUAUGCCCUCCCCCACGCCAUCCUGCGUCUGGACCUGGCUGGCCGGGACCUAAUGGGCUACCUCAUGAAGAUCCUCACGGAGCAUGGCUACCGCUUCACCACCACGGCAGAGCAGGAAAUCAUCCAUGACAUCAAGGAGAAGCUCUGAUACUUUGCCCUGGACUUUGAGCAGGAGAUGGCCACCGUGGCCUCCAGCUCCUCCCUGGAGAAGAGCUAGAGCUGCCAGACAGGCAGGUCAUCACCAUCAGCAGUGAGCGGUUCUGCUGCCCUGAGGCUCUCUUCCAGCCUUCCUUCCUGGGCCUGGAAUCCUGCGGCAUUCACGAAACUACCUUCAAUUCCAUCAUGAAGUGUGACGUCGACAUCCGCAAGGACCUCUACGCCAUCACCGUGCUAUCUGGCGGGACCACCAUGUACCCCGGCAUUGCGGACAGGGUGCAGAAAGAGAUCACUGCCCUGGCACCCAGCACGCUGAAGGUCAAGAUCAUCGCACCCCCUGAGCGCAAGUACUCCGUGUGGAUUGGCGGCUCCAUCCCGGCCUCUCUGUCCACUUUCCAGCAGAAGUGGAUCAGCAAGCAAGUAUAAGACGAGUCCAGCCCCUCCAUCGUCCACCGCAAAUGCUCCUAGGCGACUGUUAGUUGCCUUACACCCUUUUUCUUGACAAAACCUAACUUGCGCAGAAAACGAGAUGAGAUUGGCAUGGCUUUAUUUGUUUGUUUUUUGAUUUUUUUUUUUUUUUUGGUGCUUGACACAGGAUUUAAAAACUGGAACGGUGAAGGUGACAGCAGUCGGUUGGAUCGAGCAUCCCCAAAGUUCUACAAUGUGGCGGAGGACUUUGUACAUUUUUUUUUUUUUUUGUACUUUUUUUUUUUAAAUGGUCAUUCCAAAUAUCCUGAGAUGCAUUGUUACAGGAAGUCUUUUGCCU